CUCCAAGUGAGUUUGCCACGAGCACCUGGAGGAGCCUGCUUGCUAGCCUCCUGCCCACAAACUAUGGGCCCUGCAGGGAAACCUGUAAAAGACUACCAAACUUGACCGACCGUUAGCACUGAUUUCAUGGAACUGUUUUGGGCAUAGGACCAUGUGCACGGUCAGUCAAAAUUAUGACUUCCAGGAAAUUCCUGAACCCCUGAACUGAUCUGG